rnacentral:lncRNA from 1 species
GUGCGGAUGCGUGGUGUAAAUAUGAUGCCGUCCUUCCGAAGCACUUUUGCAAGCAAGAAGGGUGCCUGGCCAACUGCCAGAAGCAUCUGCAGGAGUACGUGUGCCCGGACUGCAUCACGCUCGAGUCCGCCGCCUGCAUGAAUGAUGGCUCGCUUGCGCCCUUGGACGGAGCUUGCUACUGCCACAUCUGCUCCAAGGAUUAGUCCAUCCUUACUAAUUUCCAUACAUCUGCUCAUCAGUGGAUACCCUGUCCAUGUUACGGACAUGCAUAUGCAAAAUGCAGAGCUAAUUCUACUUAUUCUCGCAAUAAAACUCUAGCUAAUUCUGAGCAAAAUGUUGAGUUUUAUUUUCCUUUUGCAGUGGGUUACAAUCAGUUUCACGUAAUCUAAUGACCUCUCGCAAUAAAAAUCUUGUCAAUUCUGAGCAAAUUGUAGAGUUAAUUCUACUUCUUGCAAUAAAACUCUAGUUAAUUCAGAGCAAAAUUUAGAGUUUUUUUUUGCGGGGGGUUACAAUCAGUUUCACAUAAUCUAGUGACUUCUCGCAAUAAAACUCUACUGGCAUCGAAUAGUCCAGAAAUACUUUCUGACGGCUGGUUGGCCACAACUAUGGCUGUGUGCAUCACAAGGAUUAAGAAGUUGAUGGUUCCAACCACUUUUUUCUGAAACAGUUGCUUUCUGAAAAGCCAUUGCUUAACAAAAUAUCAGAUAAUUCUGAAGUCGAUCCCCACUAAAUGUGCUAUAGCAAUUUGAAUUCCUUAGAUGCUUAAUACCCUAUCUGUCUUAAUUGUGGGGCCUCAUGUCAGUUUUUUCUCUUCUAGUUUAACCCCUCAAACCAAGUGAGAGAAGUGAGAAAUAUUUUUUUAUACCUUAUCGCUUAUUCUUAGCAUUGUGGCCAGGUCUUUAGACUUUUCUGUUAAGAUCCCUUCUCAUAAUGCUCGAGCGUGGGUCUUAAUGCUAAUAUCUUUUCUUAAGACCCAUGUUUUUGGUUCAUUGAAGGUGCCCACCGAUAGACCAUUAGUUAAUACAAGCGAUACUUACAACUGACUUGAGGUAUCCAAUACAUCCAUUUGAAAUAGUCACCAGAACCAGCCUGUAGUUGGAUGUUAUGAUGAUAGUGGUCCAACCAGGGAUCAAACCGCUGUGUCAUAAAGGUGAAAUAUUCUUUCAGUGGAGACGACAUCCUGUUGAUAACGAGACGUCUGUGGUGACUUCAACAAUGUUAAGAUCAAAGAUCUUUUUUUAGAAAAGGGGUCAGAAUGAUGCAUAUGGCCAAAUUAUUAAUAAAAAGAAAAAUGUUCUACAAAAGUCUUCAGUCUGGUUCUCGUGACUAAGAUCUAAGAUCUGAUCCGCUGGCUCAGUCUUUCAAAGGUGCUCAUAGGAGUAUGGUGUGCGUACGUACGUUUAUAGGGGUGCAUGUAUUUGCGUGUAUGUGAGUUUGUGUUUGCACUGUGUUUUUAAAAAGUAGUUAGGUCCAGAUGUGCCAAUAAUUUACCUUUAUACUACAAUGGAAAUAACAAUUCAUAUAUGUCAUAUCAAACAUCGUCUCUGACGCGAACCAACGUAUGGUUGGAUGGUUAGUAGGACAGUGGUAUCCCUAGGCCACUAGGUUCAAAUCUUGGUGCUCGCAUUUUCUUGGAUUUGUAAAUCUCAAGAUCAUAGGCCGGCUCAACCGUUCAUAGGUGCUCAUAAGGAUAGGGCAUGUGUGUAUGCAUUCAUAGGACAACAUGUUGGUUUACAUUUCAAGAAACAUCAAAACAUCGGUAUUUUUGUGACGACUAUCCUCUGGCCGGCAUACAAAAAAGGAUGGCGCUCUCCCUCAUCAUGCUCAAGUUCACUUUCAUGAUCUUCACCCUCAUCAUCAUACUAGCGAGUGCCACAUCUUCUGCCUUGGUCUUGGCAUUGGUGGCCUCGAUCUCAAGCAACUUCCUUUGCUUCUCCGCCUCCAUCUCAAGCUUCUUUGCUUGCUUCUCCGCAUCGAACUCAAGCCGGCUCCUUUGGAUCUCCAUGAAGGCAUUCAUUUGCUCUUCUUUGUCUUGUCGGCGCUUGUCCUCCCUUGUAUCCUUCUUAGUCAUCAUGCCUUCCAAAGUGACAUGCAAGGCAAUCGACGCCGCAUCAUGCUCGUCCUCUUUCUUGGAGUUGGUCUUCCCCCACGGCAUUUGUAGUAGCUAGUUUUUUCUUUUCUUGAACGGCACCUUGUACCUAGCUUUGCUGGUAGUACACGCCGAUGCUCGCACACGCUUGCUGCUCAAAUGGAACCGGUAGGGACUCCCUCUCCCACAAUGCGUAAGAAGGUGUAUGUGUUAGUGUUAUGGUUGGUUAUCCGGUCAAAAUCAUUGAGCGCACUAGGUACUCGAACCAUGCAUAUAUACCACCUUGGGCAACAAAGAAUGAGGAGCACGCGACCAGCAUAUACACGGUAGCACAAUGCAAUGGAAACCACUGCCACUGGUCGGAGUGCUCGCCGCCGCCCUUCUGCUCCUGGCAUCCGCCUCUCCGGCGUACAGCGGCAAGGGUGGCAUCAGCGACCUCGCGGCGGGGGCGAGAGCUAGGGCUCAUGUUCCCACGGCGUCGACAUUGACGAGGCGGCUGGAGGAUGAGGUGGAGCCGGAGCUGAGUUGGGCGGACAGCCUCCUUGGGGGAAAAGGCCUCGGCUAUGACACCUUGGACGGGAACGGGGCAGCGUGCCAGCGGCAUGACUCAUGCGCGGGCAAACAACCAGGAGGCCCAUACACCGGCCGCUUGUGCAUCUACAGGGAUGACUGUCCGCACUAACGCCUCAUGAACGCAGCGUGCCAGUCGAUAUGCAUGCAUCAGCGCCAGUCGAUAUGCGUGCCAGUCGAUAUGCAUGUGUCGUGAGCCGAUUAUUAGCAUGUAAUCGUGGGAAUGCAACGCAAGAUUACCCACUACCCCUUCCGUUCACUGUCAAGAGUGCCUACAAGCUAGCGAUGGCGAUGAAGGGGAGCGGGCCACAGACCUCUAGCUCCACGGCAAGUGUUGACGAUCGCAACAGCUGGGACCUUAUUUGGAAAGCGAAAAUCCCUGGGAAAAUCAAAAUUUUUGGAUGGAGGGUGGCUACAACCACUCUAGCUACCAAAGCUAAUAAGUGUAGACGAACGCUUGAGACGGACAGCACCUGUGCCAUUUGCGGCAACACGGAGGAAGAUGAGUUUCAUGCUGUGGUAUCGUGCAUGGAAAGUAAAGCCCUGAGACAAGCAAUGGGAAAUCACUGGAUGCUACCGAAAGAGAGUGCGUUCUGGCACACAGGUGAGGACUGGCUCCAACCCCUCCUUAACUCAUGUGAUGAGGAUACACGAAACAAAAUCCUUCUAUUGCUAUGGCAGGCAUGGUUUUUGAGAGAUAAUAUAAUCCACGGUGAUGGAAAAGAGACCAUCUCGAGGUCAGUAGGAUUCUUGCUUAAGUAUGAGGAAGAAGUCAGGAUGGCUCAGGGGAAAUCAGAGGCUGAGAGGGGCAUUUUCUGCAUGAAUCUGUUUGAGCAGUACCCAGAUCACUCACGGAUUGUCCGAAAGCAAUGGUGUCCCCCCGCCGCCGGCGUGGCCAAAUUAAAUACGGAUGCGUCCUUUGUUGCCGCAACGGGCGAGAGCGCGGGUGGUGCAGUCGCUAGAAACAGUCAGGGGGUCCCGUUCUUCUCAAUGGGGUGUAGACUGGGACAAUGUGUGUCUGUUGAAGAAGCAGAGAGCCUCGCAUUGCUGCAUGGACUGCACACUUUGGCAAAUUAUCAUACUGGACCAAUUCAUGUGGAGCUUGAUUGCAUGACCCUGGUGAAGGCGAUCAGCCCAGACGCAGCAAACCAGUCGCGGCUAUUCCCGAUCAUAGUUGACAUCAAGCUAGCAUUGAGCUCUUUCCAAUCAUACCUGAUCGAGUGGGUGCAGAGGGACAGGAACAGACUUGCACAUGGCCUAGCAGCCCUUGCAUCUAGGAUGGGCGAUCUGUUCAAAGUGGCCGGCGUGCCAGAUGAGAUUAGCGAGGUGUUGAGGAAAGACUGUAAUCAGACUGUUUGAUCAGUUUGUGUGAUUCUCAAAAAAAAAACAUGUUCUGAUAACUAUUUUCUAUAUCUGAUGUGCGUAGACAUGUUUUAGUGUGUUUAUUCAUUCAUUUUAAUCCUUAUUACGUAGUCCAUGUUAAAAUAUCCAAAACAUACUACACAUGUAAAGAAUCUUGAAGUACCCGCCUCCUUGGGCUUCUCGCGGGCUAAAGAGGCUACUGGCCGUCCGUUGGCCGGUGGCUUGUGUCGGGAGCCUCUCCUGGCCACGUAGUCCCUCAACCCAACUCCUCCAGGGUUCAUGCUGGCGAUAGCUGGUGGCGUUGGUGUACACAGCGGGCUCCACUGCCGAUCGAUUUCACCUCCUUCCGAGUCUUGGAGCGGGGACAGAGAGCGGAGGCAAAUUGGUGAAGUGUGGGUCGGGAGGGGGCUCUAGUGGGUUUAUGCGGGGGACUGUAUCGGAUCAGACGUGGCGAGCGACCCAAUCUCCCCUAAUCCUCCCCUCAAUUUGGGCUGAAUUGGGGGAUUCGGAAUAGCCUUAGCCAAAAAUGAGGGAGCAUGUUUGAUGGCUACAAAUGUCCGAACUGUCCGGUCCGAAAUAAUGGGGAAGGAAUGAGGGAGCUCAUUGGAAAUGCACCUAGCUCGGAGGGUAAGUUUGGGCUGACCAAUGGAUCAAUUUGCUAGGUUAAUUUGGGAAGGUUAGAGAAUGUUUAACUUGCAGGGUUGAUUUGGUUUGGCAAGGUAGAGAAAUUUAGGACCUAGGGAGCAGUUGCAACUGUUAAUUUAACCAGGGAACUAAGGAAGGAUAAUACUAGUACUCAACAGCAUCUACAGACAGACUUGGCAAAUUCGGCUUCUCAAACGCCCGCGGACGCGCCUGGGCGCGUCCGCGUGCACUAACCGGGCACUUCUCAAAAAUACAAUCCACAUUCGGACACCUCAAUUACCAUAUCU